AUCGUUAGCGAAGGGGAGUAGCCUCCAAUCGUCGGGUCGACAUGCUGGCGAAAGCCCGGCCGGCGAACCGCCCGACGGGGCGGUGGGUGAGACCUUCGACCGAUGU
rnacentral:misc_RNA from 1 species